GAGAUAUGACAGAGACAAAAAGCAGGCUGAGAGUCCCUGCUCUGGACUCUAGAUCGCAAUGAAGCCACAUCUUUCUACAACUUUUGAAAGAAGCAGAAGUGAUCCAGUAGGUCCGACCCACCUGCAAGGGGAGAGGCUUACGCAAGAGCAUGAAAACCUGAGGACAGAGACCACCAGGACCAACAAAGGCUGCGGACCACAGAGACACUCUUUAUUCAUGGAAUAAACCUGGAGCCUGAUUCUCCCACGGCGAGCCUCCUGAAAUGAUAGAAGCUAUGGAGGGAGGCCACAUGUCAGCAUUAUUAUUGUUCAUCAUUCAUUCAGGCCCACAAAAGCGAGAGCAUCUCCAUACGGGUGUGGAUUUUAAAAUCAGGAAAGCAGGCCAGACUGAAUUCAUGCUUAGGCACAGCUGCUCAGAACUGACCACCCUAAGGGGCCCACUGUUAAUAACUCAUCCUUUCUGAUGAUCCGCCCACCGCCUGUUGUGGCUGCUGCCACUGUUCAGCUCUGUCCCCUGCCCUGAGAAACAUGUGCUGCCAGAGGUUCGUCCUCACAAUAAUAACCGCUAACGCUGAGUGAGAGCAUGUGAUGGUCAA